ensembl:lncRNA
GACAAAGUCAACAGUCUUUAGUUAUAUUUGGCCUUGUUUCGUUGAGAAAUUUAAAGAUAGCCUGUAUGGUGUCUACCAGCUAAGUGUCAGGAAGCAAAGGUGGUUUAGAAAUCUCAAAGGGUAGAUCUCAGCACUAGAGGGCGUUAUCCUGGAUCCAGUUUUCAACACUUUAGCCAGGUGACUUAAUGGGGUCUCAGGCCAGCUUCCCGGUCAGAUCAGCAUAGGUAAACUCUGGAUACCCAAGCCUACACCCAGCUUUUGGUACCAUGUCAGUGUGGGCGCAGACAAAUGGAGGUCCCACCAAGAUCGGGAAAGUGAAGAAUUUUUCUGACGAGGUCAUCCCAUGGCACCAUGAAGCGGGAGACAGUGAAGGACACUGCGGGAAUUGAAAGCAUGUGCAAAGAAAAAUAAAGAUGGGUUAGUGAUUGGACAACCUGACUUGCUUUAAGCUUUUAGACCUUGUGGGACAGAGAACAUGGAGACUAUAGGAAAUGCCUUCAGAAAAUCAAAGAGAAGUUAUGACUCUUCUCUUUCCUUUAACAUGAAAAGUUAUUCUGACUCAACCAUAGGCUGGUCAAUCCAAUAUUGGAAAUAACAGUUUUCAUUUGGAAGAUUGGUUCUGGACAUUUUUAGAGACAUUUCAAAGUUCACAAUUGUCUUGUAUGAAGUCACAUUGGCAGUGAAAAAAGACUGGUACAGGAGCUGGACUUUAAACAAAUGUUAGCACAUGUGCUAAAACUGCUAAUCUUUUAUUUAUUG